CACCAAUCUUGCAGCCGAAUUUCGGAAGCCCCCGUCGCUGCUGCGUCGCGGCAGAGGAAAAUCGUCCGCCCGCCGCGUGACGCCUCCCCCUCUCCCAAGUUCCUCCCCAUAAUCCUAGCCCCGGCCGCCAUCGCGCCGGCCAUGGCGGCGCCCCGCGAGCUGGACCUCUCCGACGAGGUCGAGGGCGUGAUGGACGGCACCAUCGACUUCGUCUUCCGCCUCGUCGGCGACCCCAUCCCCCUCCUACCCUCCGCCUCCGCCCCGCUCCCCCUCUUCGACCUCCAGUCCCCUCCCGCGCGCCCGCUCGCCGUCUCCGACCUCCACGCCGCCGUCUUCCUCGCUCACCCCAACGGGUUUAUCGCCGCGAGGACGAAGGCGUUGAUCGAGGCCAGCAAGGAGGCCAGGGAGAAGGGCAAGGCGAGCACCCGCUGCGCCCAGGACUGCUGCGUCACCGACGUGCCCCUCCCCGGCGUCACUCUCCUAGCGCUCUCCCGCGACCAGUCCGUGCUAGCUGCCUGCACGGGCAGUGAGAUCCAGUUCUUCUCGGCUACUUCCUUGCUCACUGAUAAGGAUAUCAAGCCGUCAUCAUCAUGUAGCAUGGGACGAUCUGGCACUGUCAAAGAUUUCAAAUGGCUAGAUAAUGCCUCUAUUGUACUCUCAAAUGGUGGAUUGCUAUCUCAUGGGAGUUUGGGGCAAGGCCUGAAGGAUGUUGAUGCUGUUGACUGUUCCAAGGACGGGAACCAUAUUGCUGUGGCAAGAAAGAAUUCACUCAGGAUAUUAACACCAGAUUUGAAGGAAACAUGUUGCAUGGCCCUCUUGUUUCAGUUGUGGCCUGAUAGUGAUUCAGAGGGCACUGACAUCAAAGUGGAUUCCAUUGGGUGGGUUCGCGAUGAUAGCAUUGUUGUCGGUUGUGUUCGAUUGAAUGAAGAAAGCAAUGAAGAGGAUUAUCUGGUAAAAGUUAUAAGAAGUGGAGGAGAUACAUUUUUCGAGAGCUCAAGCAAGCCAGUUGUUCUUAGGUGUGAUGUUUCCAGAGGCAUAAGGAAUGAUAUUUUACCAUCUGGAGUUGGACCAAAUCUGCUAUUGGGCUAUCUGCAUCGCUGGGAUCUCCUGGUUGUUACAAAUAAAAAGAGCACUGAUGACCACAUUUCUCUUUUGAAAUGGCCGUCCAGAACUGAUGAGGAAAGAACUGUGGUAUACCUCGAAAUGGUGGAGGAUAGAUAUAGUCCUAGAAUUGAUCUGCAAGAAAAUGACGAUGACAAUGUUAUAUUGGGGUUUGGUGUGGAGAAUGUUUCAUUAUUUCAGAAGAUCACAGUACUGGUUGGACCUGAACAGAAGGAGGUUGCCCCUCAACAUCUUCUACUUUGUUUGACUAGUGAAGGGAAACUAAUUAUUUAUUAUCUUGCCAGGAUUUCUGACCCUUCCGAUUUACCUCAAACAAGUCUGUCUACCAUUGAGGAUAGUAAUGUGGAUAAACAAAUUUCUCCUGCAACUGUGUCUAAUAAGGAUCUGACUCCAAGUGUUACAAGUUCAAGCGCCAAGAGUCUGCUCGCAAGACCAGGGACGAUGGCCACGCACGACAGCAGCAAGGCGAAGAAAACAAGACCGGAGGAAUCUUGUAGAAAAUUGUUAAGCGCCGUCCUGGAAAAAUACAAUGUUGAGUGUGAAAAUUACGAUGAUGACCUCAUUAUCUAUUCUAAAGACUCUGAUGUUAUAUUGAGAAUUGAGAAGACGCUGAGUGCACCUCCUGAUUGCGAUAAACCAACCGACUACAACAAAUUGAUCGAAGAGCUGCAAACGGUAACCAAGAGAAUGGUUGCACGGAAAUAUGCACGUGAGAGAGAUGUUCUGGUGAAGAAUUUGCUGUUGGCAAUAGAUAAGAUCUCUCACUUUGAGUCAGAUAUACCGUUUGUCGACAAGCAAAAUAAGGAUGCAGCUUUGCAAGCAAAAGACUGGCUUUUGAACAAGCAGAGGGAGCAGAAGUCGGUCUCAAUAUAUGAAGAUGCUGUCCUAAAGUGUACUGCUUUAGACAACUGGAUUAAGAGGCUAGAAUUAGAUCAAACAACUGAAGGGUCAUUACUACAGGAUUCUUCGACGUCUUCAAGUGGAUACGAGGAGUUGCCAGAGGGGAGUUCGGUUGAGGAACAAACGAAUAAAUUUCCCCCAAGAUCAGUUCCUACAGGGGAGACUCUUCUUGAAAUUUUUAGAGUAGAGACAAACUUGGCCUUGAUAAAGACCAUCCUGGUCUAUGAUUAUAAAGGUGCUGCAUUAGUCUAUAAAUCUAAGCAAGGGGAUAAGAGCCGAUUUCGUAGAAGGUGUUCCAAUUGGCUGUCAAAACAUACCAAGAAAACCCGUUCUGAUUUCAUAGAUUCGCUCACUCUCACAGGCCCGACUCGGCCAAUGACUGCUGACGGAGAGUGCUGGGUCAUUAAACUCGACGUGCCGGCUGAGUCAAGUUUUGGGGUCGAGGACCCUGAAUUGUGUGACAAACUUUUCAAAGCAACAUUGCCACUGAGUUCUGAUUACAUUGACAGGCCCCGAUGCAGCUUAUUGUCUAUCCGAGGUGGAGUUGUAAAUAUCUCGUCCAUUACAUUUAGCAACGCCCUUCGUUGCACUGUCAGGUUUAUUCUUGAUCGUCGUGUCGAUGUCAGUGCUAAACAGUUUUAUAUCCGAGGUGAACUUACAUUGUCAGUUGAAGACUAUGAUGUGAAGUUCACGCUUUUUAGAAGUCAAUUCCCAAAAGUCACUGCACGCAUUCUUAGUGAGACAAAGGUUGAAAUUCCAUUACUUAGGGAUGUCCUCUCCCUUCCUGUUGGAGCCCGGGUGCAUGUAGGGGGUAUUCUGAAAUUGAGAAGAGGGAAAGUGCUUGUUGAUGACCAUCUUAUCCUUGACAAGGAGACAGUAGAGGCUGAAUGGCCUGUGAUUCCAUUGAAUGGGGUUGCUUCUCCUAGUCACCUGAAGGCUUGCUUAUCGAUUGCAUUAUGUGACUACAUCUAGUCCACACAGCUCACAAGGGCACAUAAUUAUAGCAGCAUGAAUAUUUCUGCAAGCUAUACAUACUUAUCAGUUGAAGCAUCUAACGCGAGUUAUAUUUUGAUAUUUCUUACACAUGCAGGUAUGAUGACGAGACUGUUAAGGUUAUUGGUAGCUGGGGUGAUGUGGUCAUUCUGUGUAAGAGAAGUGGUCAUCCGAGCGUUUGCUAAAAGGAGAGAAGUGGUGAUAUAUAUUUUCCUUUUGAACUUUGGAUAUAUAGCCUGACCCCAUAUCCUGUCGAAUGCGAUUUUGCCGUGGACUGUAAGCGGGGAUAACUCUAGUAGAUCAUGUGCCGCUCCAGAGAAAUUACUCACGACUGCUGCUAAAUAUGCUGGGAGCCUAUCAAUAUAUACGGUUUUUCUGUGCUUACGGUGUGGGGGAAUGUUGUAUUGUGUUGUGUGUGACCAAUGGAUGGGUAUCAUCAACGGAGAAGGGCUGUUCUCAUUUUUGUUUCUUAUCAUUUCGAUUGACAUGAUAUCUCAGAAUGUUGGGUAUCUCAGAAUGUUGUGAAGUCCCUUUGCGCUGGCCAUGAUGAGCGCAGAAAGUUAUUUCUCCUGCU